GAAAUAAUAAGAAAACAUAAACUUAGAAUCACAGACCCAAUGUUUUAAAAAUGGAAAAAGAAGCUAAAUCAUAUCUUUUUAAGAUAAACAACUCAUAGUUUUGUCAUCAAUAGACUCUUUCUGGAUAGAUGAUGGGUGGAGUGGUCCAAAGAUAGAGUUCCAAUACACAGAUAAGAUAUAAAAAAUCCAAUGCACAGGGAAGAUAUGAACAUUAUAUCUCUCAUAUCACAGCAACAAAACAUACAAAGCAAAAAUUUGACAUAAGUACAAGAAAAAAGAAAAACCUGCUAUCAGAGUAGGUGAUUUUAUACAUAUAUCUAAGAUUGCAGCAGGUUGAAAAUAGCCCCACAAAAUAUGGUUCCAUGUCUUGAUCCCUGGAACUUGUGAAUGUGAGCAUAUUGGGGAAAAGAAUUUUUGCAAAUGUAAUUAAGUCCUUGAUACGUGGAAAUCAUCCUGGAUUAUCCCAGUGGGCCAUAAAACCAAUGAAAAUGGUCCUUAAAAGAAAAAGGCAGAGGGAGAUUUGUUAGGUAUACAAAACAUGGGAAAGAGGAGGCAGUAAUGGGACGCAAAAGCAGGGAUUGGAGUAAUGUAGCCACAGUCAAGGAAUGUCAACAGCCACUCAAAGCUUAAACAGGCAAAGAAUGAAUUCUCUAGACCCUCCUGAGGGAGUGCAAACCUGCCAACACCUUAAUUUCAAUUUUAAAGUGUAUUAUACUUCAAUAGUUUUUGACUUAAAAAUCUAGCUUCUAGAACUGCAAGAGAAUACAUUUCUUCUGUUUUAAGCCAUCUGUUUGUAGUAACUUCUUACAAAAACCACAGGAAACUAAUACGUAGGUCAAAAGGACCAAAAAAAAUUUUUUAAAGGACUAGGAGAAUUAAUAACAUGAAUUACUAAGCUGAAUGUAGUGGUUAUGUAUAGAAUAUUGCCUAAAAACUAUAGAAUACACAUUCCUUCCAAGAAUAUAUGACAUAUUUUCAAAAGUCAAACAUACUGGGCCCUAAAGCAAGUCUCCAUCUAAGAAUUGCUAUAGCAACUGCAAUCUCUGACCAGUCUGCAAUUAAAUUAGAUGCCAAUAACCAAAAGACAACUAUUAAGUCCCCACAUUUCUGUUCUUCCUGUGAACUCACGGGUCAGAAAAAAACAAUGAGAAUUUGAAAACAUUCAAAACUGAAGGGAUUGGCAUAACAAUAUAACUUUCAUCCUAAUAAAGCUCUGUUCCAGGAAUUUUCAUGAACGCUGAUGAAUACUGAACCCAUUAUGUGUGUACUUUCAAGAUAAUCAAUAUAAGACAUCUAUUUUAAAGUGUAUUGUACUUCAAUAGUUUUUGACUUAAAAUCUUUGAUGAUUUGUUCCUGGGUGUGGAGUUAGGAUAUAUCAUUAUUAGCAACACUGACAGUGGAUACAGUUAAAAUGACAACCUUCCACAUUCCCAGAUGUUCAUCUAUUGAAUUUUUAUUUGUUUCUAUUUCCCACUAGGUUGUGAGUUUCUUUAAAAUUAUACAUGUAAAUUAUACUUGUAAAGUUUGAUACAAAAAGAAGACUAGUUUAAAACAUCGGUAAUAGUUUU
rnacentral:lncRNA from 1 species